UAAAGUUGUUGUAGUUAAAAAGCUCGUAGUUGAAUUUCGGGGUUCUACCGUUGGUCGAGGCAAUAGUCUGUACUGGCGUGUGGAAUUUCUACCUUCUGGGGAACCAUCAUGUUAUUUAUUUAACGUGGUGGGAAACCAGGACCUUUACCUUGAAAAAAUUAGAGUGUUCAAACCAGGCUUACGUCUGAAUACAUUAGCAUGGAAUAAUAAAAUNGGACGGUGGUCCUGUUUUGUUGGUUUCUGAAUCACCGUAAUGAUUAAUAGGG
rnacentral:rRNA from 1 species